rnacentral:rRNA from 1 species
GCGGAGGGAUCAUUAAAGAGUUCUAUAACUCCCAAACCCAUGUGAACAUACCUAACGUUGCCUCGGCAGGUCGCACCUACCUUGUAGCACCCUACCCUGUAGGGCCUACCCGGGAGGUGCGGGUAAGCCUGCCGGCGGCCCACCAAACUCUGUUUGAUAUUGAAUUCUGAACCUAUAACUAAAUAAGUUAAAACUUUCAACAACGGAUCUCUUGGUUCUGGCAUCGAUGAAGAACGCAGCGAAAUGCGAUAAGUAAUGUGAAUUGCAGAAUUCAGUGAAUCAUCGAAUCUUUGAACGCAUAUUGCGCCCAUUAGUAUUCUAGUGGGCAGGACCGUUCGAGCGUCAUUUCAACCCUUAAGCCUUCGUUGCUUAGUGUUGGGAGCCUACGGCAACGUAGCUCCUCAAAGUUAGUGGCGGAGUUGGUUCACACUCUAGACGUAGUAAUUUUUUAUCUCGCCUAUUAGUUGGACUAAUCCCCUGCCGUAAAACCCCCAAUUUAUAUCAAGGUUGACCUCGAAUCGGUUCAGACAAACUCGCUAAAUUGAAGCAUCUUAGUCAGCGAAGGAAAAGAAACCAACAGGGAUUGCCCUAGUAACGGCGAGUGAAGCGGCAACAGCUCAAAUUUGAAAUCUGGCCCUCGGGUCCGAGUUGUAAUUUGUAGAGGAUGCUUUUGGCGCGGUGCCUUCCGAGUUCCCUGGAACGGGACGCCUUAGAGGGUGAGAGCCCCGUACGGUUGGACACCAAGCCUCUGUAAAGCUCCUUCGACGAGUCGAGUAGCUUGGGAA